rnacentral:rRNA from 1 species
GACGAACGCUGGCGGCGUGCUUAACACAUGCAAGUCGAGCGAUGAACCCGGAGCUUGCUCCGGUGGAUUAGUGGCGAACGGGUGAGUAACACGUGAGUAACCUGCCCUUGACUCUGGGAUAACUGCGGGAAACUGUAGCUAAUACCGGAUACGACCCUCGGCGGCAUCGCCAGGGGGUGGAAAGAAUUUCGGUCAAGGAUGGACUCGCGGCCUAUCAGCUAGUUGGUGAGGUAACGGCUCACCAAGGCGACGAAGGGUAGCCGGCCUGAGAGGGUGACCGGCCACACUGGGACUGAGACACGGCCCAGACUCCUACGGGAGGCAGCAGUGGGAAGAUUGCACAAUGGGCACAAGCCUGAUGCAGCAACGCCGCGUGAGGGAUGACGGCCUUCGGGUUGUAAACCUCUUUUAGUAGGGAAGAAGCGAAAGUGACGGUACCUGCAGAAAAAGCACCGGCUAACUACGUGCCAGCCGCCGCCGUAA